UACGGAGGGGGCGAGCGUUAUUCGGAAUUAUUGGGCGUAAAGGGCGCGUAGGCGGCUGUACAAGUCAAAGGUGAAAUCCCUCGGCUCAACUGAGGAACUGCCUUUGAAACUGUACGGCUUGAGGCCGGGAGGGGGUAGCGGAAUUCCCAGUGUAGCGGUGAAAUGCGUAGAUACUGGGAGGAACACCAGUGGCGAAGGCGGCUACCUGGACCGGUUCCGACGCUGAGGCGCGAAAGCGUGGGUAGCAAACAGG
rnacentral:rRNA from 1 species